GUGAGGAAUAUUGCGCAAUGGACGAAAGUCUGACGCAGCCAUGCCGCGUGAAGGAUUGACGGCCCUAUGGGUUGUAAACUUCUUUUGUAUAGGAAUAAACCCUCGUUCGUGAACGAGGCUGAAGGUACUAUAAGAAUAAGCACCGGCUAACUCCGUGCCAGCAGCCGCGGUAAUACGGAGGGUGCAAGCGUUAUCCGGAUUUAUUGGGUUUAAAGGGUCCGUAGGCGGAUCGUUAAGUCAGUGGUGAAAUCCUACCGCUCAACGGUAGAACUGCCAUUGAUACUGACGAUCUUGAGUAUGUAUGAAGUUGGCGGAAUGUGUGGUGUAGCGGUGAAAUGCUUAGAUAUCACACAGAACACCGAUUGCGAAGGCAGCUGACUAAUACACAACUGACGCUGAGGGACGAAAGUGUGGGGAUCAAACAGGAUUAGAUACCCCUGUAGUCC
rnacentral:rRNA from 1 species